rnacentral:rRNA from 1 species
AACGUAGGACGCAAGCGUUAUCCGGAGUUACUGGGCGUAAAGCGCGGGCAGGCGGCUCGAUGCGUCUGAUGUGAAAUCUCCUCGCUCAACGGGGAGAGGCCAUUGGAAACGGUCGAGCUGGAGGGCAGUAGAGGUAGGCGGAAUUCCGGGUGGAGUGGUGAAAUGCGUAGAGAUCCGGAGGAACACCAGAGGCGAAGGCGGCCUACUGGGCUGAACCUGACGCUGAGCCGCGAAAGCCAGGGGAGCGAACGGG